AUUAAAUCACUGGCUUCACUCCACCAGGUCUCAUCAUCACCAUCAUCAUCGAGCUCCACUCUGCUCUGCUGUUGUUGUGUCGUCUCUCUCUAACUAACUGGUUGUUGUGUUGGUGGAUGGUGGCGUUUGCUAAUGGUGAUGCUGGUGAAUGGAGACUAUGAGUUUUUUUUUUUAACAAGUACCCAACUCCCCCCACCCCCCACCCUCACCCUCCUUUUUCCCCACAGUCGUGUUUGAUUAUAACGGACUCCGAGGUGCUGACGCUCAAACCAACUCCUCGGAAGCUCCCAAACAAGGGAGAGACCGUUCCGAUGCCGCCUCUGCCCGUACCGAGCCUCUCAGAAAGGGAACCUGAAGACCCACGUCCAGAGUGUCCACCACGUACAUUUCGACAACGCCCAGUACCCUGAUUACAGACCACCGGGACUGGGCCCCGAGCAGGACGAGGAGCAGGGGGACUGGUUCUCACCCACCACCACCGAUCCACCGCGACCUAAUAACAGACCCACCAACGUGACAACCCCAGGGCCUAAGAUAGAGCUAGAGACUCCAUCCAUAUUCCCAACCCCUCCCCAAAGACAGCAGAGAGACCUGAGAGCUGUGUCAGAGACACCACCUGACAGAGUGACAUCAGCGUGAACUCAACCCCGUUGCCGUUUCAGAUUCAAAUAUUACCAGGAUUAUUUGAAAUGUGUUUUUUUUUUUUUAAAGAAAGAAAAGGAUUUCUUGGAAAGAGAAGAAAAAUCGGACACUGUGCAACCAAAUGCUGUUUUUUCCCUCUGUGGACCCAUGGGCAAGGAUGGCAUGGUGGCAUAGUGACGUCCCUAUAGCUUUCCGUUGUCCUAUUUUUCCCCAUUUGAUUUAGAUUGUGAUGAAAUGGUUUUGUGCAUUCCUCAGGACACUGAUCCCUUAAAAACACACGGCAGAAUGGAGCAGCCAAGUUGGUGAUGUUUACGCUGACUGAACUGAACACACUUAGCUAACCCUCCGAUUGCAGCUAACUUGACAAGCUUAAGACGGUGUGUGUGUGUGUGUGUGUGUGUGUGUGUGUGUUCUAUCCUCUAGAGGACCACUAUAAUGAGUCCAGUAUGAUUGGCUGAAGUGAAGUGACCACUACACGAUCUGACUCCGAGGCUGUUUGGCCGGUCAUUAAAGAGAGAGAACGAGAGAGCGAGAGAGAGGGAAGGAGAGAGGGCUAAUGACAGUGUGAGAGGAGGUGCCUGCUUUACUGCUCAUUAAAAAGAGUGUGCGCUUUUAAUGGGGGGGUAUAAGCGAGCGUGCUGUUUUAAUGGUCGUUCAAUUAUUGGGAGGAGAAGAAGAGGAGGCCGUUUUCUGAUCCCUCUGAUCCGAGCGUGGUCCUCUUCCCACACCCACACCUCCAACCUCAAAUUAGAC
rnacentral:lncRNA from 1 species